CUUCCGUGUAGCCGCCAGCCUGGUUGUAUUUCAACGGUCUCCUUGUAUUGACAAAACUCACCGCAACAGGAAACACGACAAACCUCAGGCAACGUGACUUGACAACCAAGGCAGACUGAAACAAAGCCGAGCCAUUUUGCGAUCCUCGAUCGGGUGCCGCAGACAAAAGGAGCACAGAAACCAGAGCUGGAAGAGAAGAAUGGAGUCCUUUCUUCAUCCAAGCCGACCGGCUGUUGAGCACCUUGGAGAAGCUCUCAACACCCAGGGCAGAUGGGAUAUCUCGGUGGCAGAAGAGGGCUUUCCCUUCAGCGUGCGCACCUGCUGCACAUUUCAAUCAGCCAUGUAUUGAAGGAUUGUGAAGCUGC